GUGAUAUCACGUUGAAACACCGGUUCUCGUACGAUUACUGAAGUUAAGUAACGCCGAGUCUGAUAAGUACCUUGAUGAGUAACCGUUUGAGAAUAUCAGGUGCUGUAAG